rnacentral:tRNA from 1 species
UAGCUGAGAUGGUAAAGCAUCUGCCUGCAAUGCAGGAGACCCAGGUUUGACCCCUGG